rnacentral:rRNA from 1 species
CAGCCCCGCGGGAAUACGAAGGGUGCAAGCGUUACUCGGAAUUACUGGGCGUAAAGCGUGCGUAGGUGGUGGUUUAAGUCCGUUGUGAAAGCCCUGGGCUCAACCUGGGAAUUGCAGUGGAUACUGGGUCACUAGAGUGUGGUAGAGGAUAGUGGAAUUUCCGGUGUAGCAGUGAAAUGCGUAGAGAUCGGAAGGAACAUCUGUGGCGAAGGCGACUAUCUGGGCCAACACUGACACUGAGGCACGAAAGCGUGGGGAGCAAACAGGAUUAGAUACCCGGGUAGUCCCUGUCUCUUAUACC